UUAGGAAAAGUCUUCUUGCAGGCAGAUCGCGUACCCCCGGUGCACCAAUGCUGACAUGUCAAAUGAAACGAUGCGUUUCAUUGAAAUGGAGAUUUGCUGGGUGUAUGAAGCGGGAAGCUGAUUUGCUUUCAUCAAACAUUGAGUCUGGAGCGGGAAGAUUGCAACUCGAAAUCCACAUCCCAUCGCCAUCGAAAUCCUCCCGUGGCUGAAACCAUCACCAUUGACCAUCUCCUUCCCCAUCUGAAACCAUUGAAAUUUCCUCCCCAUCUGAAGACUGAAAUCACUAACCCUAACCCCUCUGCCCAUCUGGAGACUGAAAUCACUAACCCCUCCCUAACCCAUCGCAGACCAAACCUGUCGUGUAUCUAGGGUUUUACUCUCUACAGAAUCGCUAUUGAUGAUCUGUUUAACCUGGUCUGUUCAGCUGAAUGGUUGUUGGUGGUACUUAAAACAAUUCAUACUUGUCUGGAGCUGCAAAAAGGAAUCUUUUCUUUAAUCUUCUAUAUGCUGAAGGCAGCAGCUCAAUGUUGCAGUUAUGAUGAGGAUGCGCAGCAUAGAUCAAUGGAUGUACUAAUAAGAAGUGAUUUGAUUCAAGUUUGAAGCACUAUAUGGACAAGGGAAGGUAAAAGAGAAUUAGGAUUGGGGCCACUAAAGAUGACAUAGUGAUCUGCAAUUUUAAGGAAAAUAUGACCAUUUUUUAGGAAGCUUCCAAUAAGCUAUUGGUUUUCCAGAGUUUUGGUUAGUUUAGAUUGUUAGAGGAGUUUUGGUUAUUUUUCCAUUUAGGUCCUGGCUUUGUGAAAGCUGUUUGAUGCAUCAUCAUUCAAAUAGUUCUUAUAUUGUAAAUUAUUAUAUUUGUACAGGGUUGUCACAUUUGUAAUAGUUUUGUCUUAUUUCGGAUAUAUUGUAUAUAAAUAGCAAGUUGUAUGGAGUAGAUCAUUUUUUAAUGUAUCAACUGUAAUGGUACUUCUCUAGUGUUUUGGUUAUGAUGUACAAAAGGGAUAUUUGUAGGUUCAUUAAAUUAACCUUUGUAAUGAAAAGUUGUAUAAUGAAAACAACUUGUGCACGUGGUUUUGGAGAGAUUCCA